GACGAACGCUGGCGGCGUGCUUAACACAUGCAAGUCGAACGGUAAGGCCCUUCGGGGUACACGAGUGGCGAACGGGUGAGUAACACGUGGGUGAUCUGCCCUGCACUUCGGGAUAAGCCUGGGAAACUGGGUCUAAUACCGGAUAGGACCACUGCCUGCAUGGGUGGUGGUGGAAAGCUUUUGCGGUGUGGGAUGGGCCCGCGGCCUAUCAGCUUGUUGGUGGGGUGAUGGCCUACCAAGGCGACGACGGGUAGCCGGCCUGAGAGGGUGACCGGCCACACUGGGACUGAGAUACGGCCCAGACUCCUACGGGGGGCAGCAGUGGGGAAUAUUGCGCAAUGGGCGCAAGCCUGAUGCAGCGACGCCGCGUGAGGUAUGACGGCCUUCGGGUUGUAAACCUCUUUCAGCACCGACGAAGCGCAAGUGACGGUAGGUGCAGAAGAAGGACCGGCCAACUACGUGCCAGCCGCCGCCGUAA
rnacentral:rRNA from 1 species